AUUGAACGCUGGCGGCAUGCUUUACACAUGCAAGUCGGACGAGUGGAGACCGGGUGAGUAAUAUAUCGGAACGUCCCGAGUAAUGGGGGAUAACUAAUCGAAAGAUUAGCUAAUACCGCAUAUAAUUCGAGCGGCCGAUAUCUGAUUAGCGAGUUGGUGGGGUAAAGGUCUACCAAGGCGACGAUCAGUAGCGGGUCUGAGAGGAUGAUCCGCAACACGGGGACUGAGGAACGGCCGAGAAUCCCACGGGAGGCAGCAGUGGGGAAGUGGGGAGAAUGGGCGCAAGAAUGAUCCAGCCAGGCCGCGUGUCUGAAGAAGGCCCGCGGGUUGUAGAGGACUUUUGUCAGGGAAGCGGUACCUGAAGAAUAAGCACCGGCUAACUACGUGCCAGCAGCCGCGGUAAUAC
rnacentral:rRNA from 1 species